UGUUGAUCGAAUUGAUGUGUUCCUGAAGGACGGAGCCCGGCUCCGCCUGGAUCUCUUGCACUUUCUUUAAGCCUCCGCUGGUCACAAACUGACGGCGAGCCUGACUGUCAUGAGGUUGUUUUGAGCGGCCCACCUUGCUGAACUGGCAGACAACGUGUUUGAUGAUGUUGCUCGGCGCAUCGUAGAGGAGGGACUCCAGCGCAGGUCCUCCGAGCUGUUGGCGUCCAUGUAGAGUUGGAGCAGUUUGGGCAGCAGGUUGGCAGUGGCGACAGCCUUGGCGUGCACGGGGGUGUGAUGUCCUAUCUGGCCUAUGCACCAAGCGGUGACGGCCUUGAUGUGAUGCUGCGUCUCCUCUGAUAGACACAGAGCCAGCUGGAGCAGACCCUGCGAGGACGGCAGGAAUCGAAGCGUGAAGCCCCGUCCGCACCGCAGGGCGCGGCGCGCUGUCGACGAACCCCUGCAUUGUGUCGACUGCUUCAUCACCGUUUCCAAAUACGUUGAACGAGCCGCAGUGCGAAAAGGGCUUCAGACGGCUUCUUCGCAACAGGGUAC